CAGUAGCCACGGUAAUACGAAGGGGGCUAGCGUUGCUCGGAAUUACUGGGCGUAAAGGGCGCGUAGGCGGACAGUUCAGUCGGGGGUGAAAGCCCGGGGCUCAACCUCGGAAUUGCCUUCGAUACUGGCUGUCUUGAGUAUGAGAGAGGUGUGUGGAACUCCGGGUGUAGAGGUGAAAUUCGUAGAUAUUCGGAAGAACACCAGUGGCGAAGGCGACACACUGGCUCAUUACUGACGCUGAGGCGCGAAAGCGUGGGGAGCAAACAGGACUAGAGACCCCGGUAGUCCCUGUCUCUUAUAC
rnacentral:rRNA from 1 species